GACGAACGCUGGCGGCGUGCUUAACACAUGCAAGUCGAACGGAAAGGCCUCUUUCGGGGGGUACUCGAGUGGCGAACGGGUGAGUAACACGUGAGUAACCUGCCCUUGACUUUGGGAUAACUUCAGGAAACUGGGGCUAAUACCGGAUAGGAGCUCCUGCUGCAUGGUGGGGGUUGGAAAGUUUCGGCGGUUGGGGAUGGACUCGCGGCUUAUCAGCUUGUUGGUGGGGUAGUGGCUUACCAAGGCUUUGACGGGUAGCCGGCCUGAGAGGGUGACCGGCCACAUUGGGACUGAGGGACGGCCCAGACUCCUACGGGAGGCAGCAGUGGGGAAUAUUGCACAAUGGGUGGAAGCCUGAUGCAGCAGCGCCGUGUGCGGGAUGACGGCCUUCGGGUUGUAAACCGCUUUCGCUCAUGACGAAGCUUUGUGUGACGGUAGUGGGUAAAGAAGCACCGGCUAACUACGUG
rnacentral:rRNA from 1 species